AUAACGGUCCUAAGGUAGCGAAAUUCCUUGUCGGGUAAGUUCCGACCCGCACGAAUGGUGUAACGAUCUGGACACUGUCUCAACUACCCACCCGGCGAAAUUGUAGUACCGGUGAAGAUGCCGGUUACCCGCGGCAAGACGGAAAGACCCCAUGGAGCUUUACUGUAACCUGAUAUUGGGUUUCGGUAUUUUAUGUACAGGAUAGGUGGGAGACUAAGAAACUAAGGCGCCAGCCUUAGCGGAGUCGCCCUUGGGAUACCACUCUUAAAGUACUGAAAUUCUAACCUGCGGCCGUGAAUCCGGUCGGGGGACAUUGUCAGGCGGGCAGUUUGACUGGGGCGGUCGCCUCCAAAAGAGUAACGGAGGCGCUCAAAGGUUCGCUCAGCAUGGUCGGAAACCAUGCCUUAGAGUGUAAACGCAAAAGCGAGCCUAACUGCGAGGCUGACGGGCCGAGCAGUAACGAAAGUUGGAGUUAGUGAUCCGGCGGUAUGUGAAUGGAAAUGCCGUCGCUCAACGGAUAAAAGCUACCCUGGGGAUAACAGGCUGAUCUCCCCCAAGAGUCCACAUCGACGGGGAGGUUUGGCACCUCGAUGUCGGCUCAUCGCAUCCUGGGGCUGUAUUCGGUCCCAAGGGUUUGGCUGUUCGCCAAUUAAAGCGGUACGCGAGCUGGGUUCAGAACGUCGUGAGACAGUUCGGUCCCUAUCUGUCGUGGGCGUAGGAUAUUUGAAGAGCGCUGUCCCUAGUACGAGAGGACCGGGAUGGACGCACCGCUGGCGCAUCGGUUGUCAUGCCAAUGGCACGGCCGAGCAACUAUGUGCGGUUUGGAUAAACGCUGAAAGCAUCUAAGCGUGAAGCCAUCUCUAAGAUAAGAUAUCCCAUAGCAUAAGCUAGUAAGACCCCUCAAAGACUAUGAGGUUGAUAGGCUGCGUGUGUAAGUACGGCGACGUAUUUAGCUUGGCAGUACUAAUAGGUCGAGGGCUUGACCUU
rnacentral:rRNA from 1 species